rnacentral:lncRNA from 1 species
GUCGUGUUGCUUAUGUGAUUACAAAUCCGGUAAAUAGUCUAAUUCGGUAGGUCAUAUUCAUGAAAGGGAAGGGGAUUGUAGUUAUGACGUAAGGAACAUAUCCGAUAUCAUUUGUGAAACGGUUAUUCCAUAACGGUCAACCAACUCGUGAUGGCGUCCGUAAAAUUUACGAAGGGAUGAUUUCAACUUCACCAUUUGGAACUCUUGGUUUAAUAGCUUCCUUGUGAGCAGCAAACCUCUAUCAAGAAAAUCAUGAUAGGAAAUGCAAGCACGGGAAUAUCGUAUCAAUUGGG